GAUGAACGCUAGCGGCAGGCCUAAUACAUGCAAGUCGAACGGUGUAGCAAUACACAGUGGCGCACGGGUGCGUAACACGUAUGCAACCUACCUAUUAUUGGGGGAUAGCCUUUGGAAACGGAGAUUAAUACCGCAUAAUACGAUUGACUGGCAUCAGUUGAUUGUUAAAGCUUUUGCGAUAAUAGAUGGGCAUGCGUCCAAUUAGUUAGUUGGUGAGGUAAUGGCCCACCAAGACGAUGAUUGGUAGGGGAUCUGAGAGGAUAAUCCCCCACACUGGCACUGAGAUACGGGCCAGACUCCUACGGGAGGCAGCAGUAGGGAAUAUUGGGCAAUGGGCGGAAGCCUGACCCAGCCAUGCCGCGUGCAGGAUGAAGGCGUUAUGCGUUGUAAACUGCUUUUUUAUAGGAAGAAGGAGGCCUUGCGAGGCUUGGUGACGGUACUAUAAGAAUAAGCACCGGCUAACUCCGUGCCAGCCGCCGCGGUAAGAC
rnacentral:rRNA from 1 species